rnacentral:rRNA from 1 species
UACGGAAGGCAGCAGGGGGAAUAUUGCACAAUGGGCGAAAGCCUGAUGCAGCUAUGCCGCGUGUAUGAAGAAGGCCUUAGGGUUGUAAAGUACUUUCAUCGGGGAGGAAAAAACAAAACUAAUAAUUUUAUUUCUUGACGUUACCCGAAAAAGAAGCACCGGCUAACUCCGUGCCAGCAGCCGCGGUAAUACGGAGGGUGCUAGCGUUAAUCAGAAUUACUGGGCGUAAAGAGCACGUAGGUGGUUUUUUUAAGUCAGAUGUGAAAUCCCUGGGCUUAACCUGGAACUGCAUUUUGAAACUGAAAUACUAGAGUAUCGUAGAGGGAGGUAGAAUUCUAGGUGUAGCGGUGAAAUGCGUAGAUAUCUGGAGGAAUACCUGUGGCGAAAGCGGCCUCCUAAACGAAUACUGACACUGAGGGUGCGAAAGCGUGGGGAGCGAAACAGGGAUUAGAUA